GACGAACGCUGGCGGCGUGCUUAACACAUGCAAGUCGAACGAUGAAAGUGGAGCUUGCUCCGCUGGAUUAGUGGCGAACGGGUGAGUAACACGUGGGCAACCUGCCCCAGACUCUGGGAUAACUCCUCGAAAGAGGUGCUAAUACCGGAUACGAACUCCUUGGGCAUCCUUGGAGUUGGAAAGUUUUUCGGUCUGGGAUGGGCCCGCGGCCUAUCAGCUUGUUGGUGGGGUAGUGGCCCAUCAAGGCGACGACGGGUAGCCGGCCUGAGAGGGCGACCGGCCACACUGGGACUGAGACGCGGCCCAGACUCCUACGGGAGGCAGCAGUGGGGAAUAUUGCGCAAUGGGCGAAAGCCUGACGCAGCGACGCCGCGUGAGGGAUGACGGCCUUCGGGUUGUAAACCUCUUUCAGCAGGGAAGAAGCGAAAGUGACGGUACCUGCAGAAGAAGCACCGGCUAACUACGUGCCAGCCGCCGCCGUAA
rnacentral:rRNA from 1 species